rnacentral:rRNA from 2 species
CUUGUCGGGUAAGUUCCGACCUGCACGAAUGGCAUAAUGAUGGCGGCGCUGUCUCCAGCAGAGGCUCAGUGAAAUCGAAAUCGCUGUGAAGAUGCAGUGUACCCGCGGCUAGACGGAAAGACCCCGUGAACCUUUACUGCAGCUUGACACUGAACUUUGACCUUACUUGUGUAGGAUAGGUGGGAGGCUUUGAAGCGUGGAACGCUAGUCUGCAGUGGAGCCAACCUUGAAAUACCACCCUUGUAAUGUUUGAUGUUCUAACGUUGGCCCCUGACCGGGGUUGCGGACAGUGUCUGGUGGGUAGUUUGACUGGGGCGGUCUCCUCCCAAAGCGUAACGGAGGAGUACGAAGGUGCGCUCAGCGUGGUCGGAAAUCACGCGUAGAGUAUAAAGGCAAAAGCGCGCUUAACUGCGAGACCCACAAGUCGAGCAGGUACGAAAGUAGGUCUUAGUGAUCCGG